GACGAACGCUGGCGGCGUGCCUAAUACAUGCAAGUCGACCUUAGUGGCGAACGGGUGAUUAACACCUGGGUAACCUCCCCAUCAUAAGGGGAUAACACUUGGAAACAGGCGCUAAUAUCGUACACUGAUGGAUGGACCCGCGGUGCAUUGGUUAGUUGGUGGGGUAACGGCUCACCAAGGCCACGAUGCAUAGCCGACCUGAGAGGUUGAUCGGCUACAUUGUGACUGAGAGACGGCCCAACCUCCUACGGGAGGCAGCAGGAGGGAAUUUGCGGCAAUGGACGAAAGGCUGACCGAGCAACGCAGCGUGAGUGAAGAAGGUUUUCGGGUCGUAAAGCUCUGUUGUUAGAGAAGCGGUAUCUGACCAGGAAGCCACGGCUAACUACGUGCCAGCAGCCGCGGUAAUUC
rnacentral:rRNA from 1 species